GCGCAAUGGGCGGAAGCCUGACGCAGCGACGCCGCGUGGGGGAUGACGGCCUUCGGGUUGUAAACCUCUUUCGCCAGGGACGAAGCUUUUGUGACGGUACCUGGAGAAGAAGCACCGGCCAACUACGUGCCAGCAGCCGCGGUAACACGUAGGGUGCGAGCGUUGUCCGGAAUUAUUGGGCGUAAAGAGCUCGUAGGCGGUGUGUCGCGUCGGCCGUGAAAACUUGGGGCUUAACUCUGAGCGUGCGGUCGAUACGGGCAUCACUUGAGUUCGGCAGGGGAGACUGGAAUUCCUGGUGUAGCGGUGAAAUGCGCAGAUAUCAGGAGGAACACCGGUGGCGAAGGCGGGUCUCUGGGUCGAUACUGACGCUGAGGAGCGAAAGCGUGGGGAGCGAACAGGAUUAGAUACCCUGGUAGUCCACGCCGUAAACGUUGGGCGCUAGGUGUGGGGACCAUUCCACGGUUUCUGUGCCGCAGCUAACGCAUUAAGCGCCCCGUCUGGGGAGUACGGCCGCAAGGCU
rnacentral:rRNA from 1 species